ACCAUCCUUCUCUUGGGGUGAGCGACUGUUCAAUGAGCGAAUAGUGAGAGCAGUCCUGCUAACACCACACAGACAACACCGAGCAUCACUAGUGCAUAUGUGCUAGAAAGGUGCAAUUUUUGGAACA